rnacentral:tRNA from 1 species
UCCCUCAUGGUCCAGUGGUUAAGACUCUGAGCUUCCACCACAGGGGCACAGAUUUGAUUCCUGGUUGGGGAA